rnacentral:rRNA from 1 species
GCUCAGGACGAACGCUGGCGGCGUGCCUAAUACAUGCAAGUCGAGCGGAUUUAUCCUUCGGGAUAAGUUAGCGGCGGACGGGUGAGUAACACGUAGGCAACCUGCCUAUAAGACUGGGAUAACUAUCGGAAACGAUAGCUAAGACCGGAUAACUGAUUUUCUCGCAUGAGAAAAUUAUGAAACACGGAGCAAUCUGUGGCUUAUAGAUGGGCCUGCGGCGCAUUAGCUAGUUGGUAGGGUAACGGCCUACCAAGGCGACGAUGCGUAGCCGACCUGAGAGGGUGAACGGCCACCCUGGGACUGAUACACGGCCCAGACUCCUACUGGAGGCAGCAGUAGGGAAUCUUUCCCCAAUGGACGCAAGUCCUACUGAGCAACCCCGCGUGUGUGUAAAAAGUUUUUCGGAAUCUAAUAUCUCUGUUUGUCCCCUGUAUUAUCCUCUAGGAGGCCUCAUCUGCCCUUUUUGUGUCGACCAGCCUACGCAGAAACCAAGUCCUCCGGCUUAACUAUCCUUGCCCUUCAUUCCGCUAGAUUAUUACCCUAAGGUAGUUAAGCUAUCUCUCCCAGUAUAUCUAUCUGAGGCCCCUAUACUUUUUCUCACUCUUGGCUUUCUUUCAUAUAUCCUUUUCAUCUGUUCUCCAAACACUAAGGAAAUACUUCCCCUCAUCACGUUACUAUCGCCACAUCUUGCCUUAUUCUAUUCUCUACCCGAUAAUAACGAUUAUU